UAUAGUAUAUAAUAUAAAUACUAGUUGUUAAAUAUUUUAUAAAUAAAAAAAAAACAAAAAAGUAAAAUCACUGCUUUAAAUAUUGGUUUAAAUAUUAUUUUUAUAGCAGCGGUAAAGAGUUAGUUUAUAGUUUUAUACGAGAAAUAUUUAUUAAAAUUAGUUAAAUUUGUGCCAGCAUCUGCGGUUAUACUAAGAAUUUAAUUGAUAUUUUUUAGGGUUUAUGGUAUUGUAUAUUUUUAAAAUAUCAUUUGGUGAAAUAAGUUAUUUGAAUAAGAUAAUUAUUACAAAUAGUAUAGUUUAGGUAAAAGCAGGAUUAGAUACCCUGUUAUUUUAAUUUUUGGUCUUUUCUCUAAGAAUUAUAGUUAAAUUUAAAAGAUUUGGCGGCUGAAUUAAAUUAAAGGAGUUUGUUUUAUUAUUUGACGAGACUCAUUAGGUUUUACUUACAUUUUUUUAGUAUACCGUCAUUUAAGGUAGUUUGUAAUUAAUUAACUGUCGUAAUGUGGUUAAAUAAGUUAGAUCAAGGUGCAGAUAUAUGUAAGGAGAGAUUAACUACAAUAGAUUAUUGCUAUACUUGAAUUUCUUAAUAGAACUUUGUAGGUGGAUUUAAUUGUAAUUAAAAUAAUAUGAAAUUACUUUUAGUGUACAAAUUGCCCGUCAUUCUCUAUGAGACAAGUCGAAACAAAGUAGGGCUAUCGGAAGUUGGACCUA
rnacentral:rRNA from 1 species